UACGGCGGCCAUAGCGUGAGGGAAACACCCGGUCCCAUUCCGAACCCGGAAGUUAAGCCUCACAGCGCCGAUGGUACUGCAAUCGCGAGGUUGUGGGAGAGUAGGACGUCGCCGGAC
rnacentral:rRNA from 1 species